UACGGAGGGUGCGAGCGUUGUCCGGAAUCACUGGGCGUAAAGGGCGCGUAGGUGGCGCGGGCAGUCAACGGUGAAAGUUCGGGGCUCAACCCUGAAUCGGCCGUCGAUACUCCCGGGCUUCGAGCACUGUAGAGGCAGAUGGAAUUCCGGGUGUAGCGGUGGAAUGCGUAGAGAUCCGGAAGAACACCGGUGGCGAAGGCGGUCUGCUGGGCAGUAGCUGACACUGAGGCGCGACAGCGUGGGGAGCAACAGG
rnacentral:rRNA from 1 species